GCGGGAAUAGCUCAGUUGGUAGAGCAUCUGCUUCCCAAGCAGAGGGUCGUGGGUUCGAGUCCCAUUUCCCGCU
rnacentral:tRNA from 1 species